rnacentral:tRNA from 8 species
GGGAGUGUAGCCUAACGGAUAAGGCAUCAGUCUUCUAAACUGACGAAUGUAGGUUCAAAUCCUGCCACUCCUG